rnacentral:rRNA from 1 species
UACGAAGGGGGCUAGCGUUGCUCGGAAUCACUGGGCGUAAAGCGCACGUAGGCCGAUUGUUAAGUCAGGGGUGAAAUCCUGGAGCUCAACUCCAGAACUGCCUUUGAUACUGAGGAUCUUGAGUUCGGGAGAGGUGAGUGGAACUGCGAGUGUAGAGGUGAAAUUCGUAGAUAUUCGCAAGAACACCAGUGGCGAAGGCGGCUCACUGGCCCGGUACUGACGCUGAGGCGCGAAAGCGUGGGGAGCAAACAGG